rnacentral:rRNA from 1 species
GACGAACGCUGGCGGCGUGCUUAACACAUGCAAGUCGAACGGAAAGGCCCUGCUUUUGUGCGGUGCUCGAGUGGCGCACACGUGAGUAACACGUGAGUAACCUGCCCUUGACUUUGUGAUAACUUCAGGAAACUGCGGCUCAUACCGCAUAUGAUCUCCUGCUGCAUGUUGUUGGUUGGUAAGUUUCGGCGGUUGGGGAUGGACUCGCGGGUUAUCAGCUUGUUUGUGUGGUAGUUGCUUACCAAGGCUUUGACGGGUAGCCGGCAUGAGAGGGUUACCGGCGACCUUGGGCCUGCGGUACGGACCAGAAGCCAACGGGCGGCAGCAGGGGGGAAUAUUGCAGAACGGGGGGAAGCCUGAGGCAGAAAUGCCGCGUGCGGGAUGACGGGCUUUGGGGUGUAAACCGAUUUCGCAUGUGACGAAGAGUGAGUGACGGUAAUGGGUAAAGAAGCAACGGCUAACUACGUG